UAAGUCUGUGAAGAAAUGCAGUAAC
rnacentral:piRNA from 1 species